AUACCUCUACAACCAACUGGGGCUGGAGUGGCGUUUUCCACUUUCCAAUGCCUGCCAUUUCCACCUGAAUAAUGCCCAUUAAGUUAAUGAAGUUGUGGAAAACAUUCCACAAGUGGAUGACCAAAGAUAGAGACCACCCACUUAUUCAUCUAUCAUCCAUCCAUCCAUCCUUCCAUCCAUCCAUUCACACACUCAUUGAGCACACUACUUUGUACAAGAUAAUGAAAUGAAUAAGAAGCCAUAUCCACCCACCUUCCAGAAUAAUCAAGCAAGGGAAACAAGUAAAAAGACAGCUGAAGCCUAGUAUGAUCAGGGCUUUCAUAAAGAAGCUUAUAGAAAUCCAGAAGAGAACCAAAAUUAAUAAGACAACAAACUUGUUUUGUUCAUCAUUGUGUUCCUAGAAUAUGCUAUAAUGCCUAGCAUAUAGUAAAUGCUCAAUAACUUCCACUGGAAAGGUGGAUAGUUGAAUGGAUAGGACGUUUGACUAGAUGAUAGAGAAGUGGGUGCAUGGGUGGAUGAAUGCAUGGAUUGAUAUAUAAAUAAGUGGUAGGGUAUAUGGAUAGGUGGGUGAGUAGAU
rnacentral:lncRNA from 1 species